rnacentral:rRNA from 1 species
GUGGGGAAUCUUGCGCAAUGGGCGAAAGCCUGACGCAGCCAUGCCGCGUGAAUGAUGAAGGUCUUAGGAUUGUAAAAUUCUUUCACCGGGGACGAUAAUGACAGUACCUGGAGAAUAAGCUCCGGCUAACUUCGUGCCAGCAGCCGCGGUAAUACGAAGGGGGCUAGCGUUGCUCGGAAUUACUGGGCGUAAAGGGCGCGUAGGCGGACAGUUAAGUUGGGGGUGAAAGCCCGGGGCUCAACCUCGGAACUGCCUUCAAUACUGGCUGUCUUGAGUAUGAGAGAGGUGUGUGGAACUCCGAGUGUAGAGGUGAAAUUCGUAGAUAUUCGGAAGAACACCAGUGGCGAAGGCGACACACUGGCUCAUUACUGACGCUGAGGCGCGAAAGCGUGGGGAGCAAACAGGAUUAGAUACCCCAGUAGUCC